rnacentral:piRNA from 1 species
UGGAUCAGGAGGAUCCGUAAUGACGUGC